rnacentral:rRNA from 1 species
CCUACGGGUGGCAGCAGUGAGGAAUAUUGGUCAAUGGGCGGAAGUCUGAACCAGCCAAGUAGCGUGCGGGAUGAAGGCCCUACGGGUCGUCAACCUCUUUUGCACGGGGAUAACACCCUCCACUUGUGGCGUUCUGCAUGUACCUUGCGAAUAAGGGCCGGCUAAUUCCGUGCCAGCAGCCGCGGUAAUACGGAAGACCCGAGCGUUCUCCGGAUUUAUUGGGCUUAAAGGGAGCGUAGGCGGGCGUUAACGUCAGCUGUAAAAUCUCGCGGCUCAACCGCGCCCCGCAGUUGAAACUGGAAGGCUUGAGUUCACAAGAGGCAGGCGGAAUUCGUGGUGUAGCGGUGAAAUGCAUAGAUAUCACGAGGAACCCCGAUUGCGAAGGCAGCCUGCCGGGGUGCGACUGACGCUGAGGCUCGAAGGUGCGGGUAUCAAACAGGAUUAGAUACCCUAGUAGUC